rnacentral:rRNA from 1 species
UACGUAGGGGGCGAGCGUUGUCCGAAGUUACUGGGCGUAAAGAGCGCGUAGGCGGGUCUUUAAGUGAGAGGUGAAAGGUUCAGGGCUCAACCCGAACACUGCCUUUCAUACUGGGGAUCUUGAGUGCGGGAGAGGCGAGUGGAAUGGUCGGUGUAGCGGUGAAAUGCGUAGAUAUCGAUCGGAACACCCAUGGCGAAGGCAGCUCGCUGGCCUGCAACUGACGCUGAGGCGCGAAAGCGUGGGGAGCAAACAGG